GCAGAGGAAACCUGGGUGACCUCCAUCUGCCUUUCCCUACCGUGUUUAGAAAACAACAGAUAAGGUAACACAGUAAGGUCAAGUGCAACAGUGGUCUGAGACUGCAGUAAGGGAAAUUGAAACUAGUCAAAAACCGACCUGGACAGACAAGAUGGACAGACAAGUGCUGUGGCAUCCCUGUGGGAUACAGAAGGAUUCUGUCCACAACCUGCCCAUGAAGCCUCAGGUGCAGCAGCAAGGAUCUGAAAUACAGUGAUCAACUAACA